AUUACUUUGGCAGAUUAGUGCGAUGAAUUUAGAAUUCAUAUAUGUAAUUUUUUUACAGGUGAUA
rnacentral:tRNA from 1 species